AUGGAUGAAGAUAUGCACUGGGCUCCGAGCAGCAAACAUUGUUGCGUUUUGAUGGAGAUGCAUUUGCCUAGAAAGCAUUGUCUGACGU
rfam:Triticum aestivum genome assembly, contig: Triticum_aestivum_CS42_TGACv1_scaffold_641167_T_2BS-0.077504_5DL-0.053326